rnacentral:rRNA from 1 species
CAGCAGCCGCGGUAAUACAGAGGAUGCAAGCGUUAUCCGGAAUGAUUGGGCGUAAAGCGUCUGUAGGUGGCUUUUCAAGUCCGCCGUCAAAUCCCAGGGCUCAACCCUGGACAGGCGGUGGAAACUACCAAGCUAGAGUACGGUAGGGGCAGAGGGAAUUUCCGGUGGAGCAGUGAAAUGCGCUGAGAUCGGAAAGAACACCAACGGCGAAAGCACUCUGCUGGGCCGACACUGACACUGAGAGACGAAAGCUAGGGGAGCAAAUGGGAUUAGAUACCCGCGUAGUCCCUGUCUCUUAUAC